rnacentral:rRNA from 1 species
AUGGAUAUCAGCUUUGAUUGGGUUUUUGGAGCUUUCCUAGAGGCUAUGAAUGGAAGGGCACCGGAUAACAUCAUUACUGAUCGGGAUGUGGAGAUGAAGGAGUCCAUAAAGAACAUAUUUCCCACAAGUGUGCACCGAUGUUGUCGGUGGCACAUCAUGAAGAAAACUCAAGAGAAAGUUGGAUGGUUGCUAGGCCGGAACCCGGGAUUGUCUGAAGAUUUCAACCUUUGCGUUGAUUUCAGUUUCACACCAGAUGAGUUUGAACAGAAUUGGGCUGCUUUGAUGAUGAAAUAUGAGGCAAUUACACACACCCAUUUCGAUAAACUUUACGAAUAUAGGAACACUUGGGUGCCAUGUUACUUCAAGGAUAGAUUUCCCCCCUUAUUGCAGUCUACACAACGAAGUGAGGGGUUCAAUGCAGUCUUGAAGCUGUAUGUAAACCCUCAUAAGUCAAUUCUGAACUUUGUGAGGCAGUACGAGAAAAUACAGACGCACAUCCUCGUCAAGGAAGGGUGCAAUGACUACAGUACAAAACAUCUGGAUCUUGACAUGUGGUCACAAUUCCCAAUAGAUAAGUAG